rnacentral:rRNA from 1 species
AUUGAGCGCUGGCGGCAUGCCUUACACAUGCCAGUCGAACGGCAGCACGGGUGCUUGCACCUGGUGGCGAGUGGCGAACGGGUGAGUAAUACAUCGGAACAUGUCCUGUAGUGGGGGAUAGCCCGGCGAAAGCCGGAUUAAUACCGCAUACGAUCUACGGAUGAAAGCGGGGGACCUUCGGGCCUCGCGCUAUAGGGUUGGCCGAUGGCUGAUUAGCUAGUUGGUGGGGUAAAGGCCUACCAAGGCGACGAUCAGUAGAUGGUCUGAGAGGACGACCAGCCACACUGGGACUGAGACACGGCCCAGACUCCUACGGGAGGCAGCAGUGGGGAAUUUUGGACAAUGGGCGAAAGCCUGAUCCAGCAAUGCCGCGUGUGUGAAGAAGGCCUUCGGGUUGUAAAGCACUUUUGUCCGGAAAGAAAUCCUUGGCUCUAAUACAGUCGGGGGAUGACGGUACCGGAAGAAUAAGCACCGGCUAACUACGUG